rnacentral:rRNA from 1 species
AGGGCACCACCAGGAGUGGAGCCUGCGGCUUAAUUUGACUCAACACGGGAAAACUCACCUGGCCCGGACACCGUGAGGAUUGACAGAUUGAGAGCUCUUUCUUGAUUCGGUGGUUGGUGGUGCAUGGCCGUUCUUAGUUGGUGGAGUGAUUUGUCUGGUUUAUUCCGAUAACGAGCGAGACUCUAGCCUACUAAAUAGUUACUGGAUAAUUGCGUCCAGAAGACUUCUUAGAGGGACAAGCGGUGUUCAGCCGCACGAAGCUGAGCAAUAACAGGUCUGUGAUGCCCUUAGAUGUCCAGGGCUGCACGCGCGCUACACUGGAGAAUCAGCGUGCUGUACCAUUGCCGAAAGGCAUUGGUAACCCCUUGAAAUCUUCGUGAUCGGGAUCCGGAAUUGCAAUUUUUUCCUUUAACGAGGAUUCUUGUAGUUUGAGUCAACAGCUCACGUUGAUACGUCCUGCCCUUUGAAACACGUCCGUCCUGCCCGGACUGACCGUUUAAAAAUCGGAAGCUGUUCAUC